GGGGUCCGGAGCGAGGCCCACACAGUACCGGCCUAGGGAGCUAGGGCGCGGGUCGAGCAAAAGCGCGCGACGCUGGGCGGGUGUGGGGGUGGGGAGGGGCGGAGGAGGGAGCAACGCCCCGGGAGGCGGGGCCAGGAACCGGCUGAUCCGGUCUCUGUUUUCCGACCUCUCCGGAGCGGGUGUUUACCCGGGAGCCGGACGGAGGAGGCCGGGGCCGGUCGAGCCCGGAAGGGGGGAGGGGAGCGCAGUCGGAGACCGAGGCUGAGACCUUUUCGGUUCCUUUCCCCUAAAUCGACUUCCAACCCUCGUUCCUGAGCGUGGGAGAACGCGGCAGACAGACAGAUGUCUCCCGCCCCUUAUCCUAUCCAGUUCCGCAAUUCACACUCGUUGCCAAAGAGUGGGGAGCGGGAAUGGAUACACCCGGGAACGACUGCACGUCCUGCGGGCGCCCGGGGAAGAAGGCAGCGCAGCACAAAACCUCUCCUGCGGUCACCUCCCACCCCAUCCUGCACCUGAGUUCUUGCGGGGAGGGGGUGCCCACAGCAGGUCGGGCCCAGAGGAUCCGGCAGGGGUCACUUUGAGGUGUACGGACUAGGAGUCUAUCCUCAGAACGCGUCAGCUCGACCCCAUCCCCGAUUAAUACCAGUGCGGGUCUCAGUCUCUUGUCCCUCGCGUCCCCCAGCCCUCUCCAAGGCCUCCAGAUUUAGCUCCCACUCUCCACGGGACGCAGGCCCGAGGACCCGGAAGAAGCUGAGUGGGGUCCGGUUUUCACACUUUUAUUGUAAAGCUCGGGAAUAAUUACACGGGUCUUUCAUUGACAGCUCAGCAAACAAACCGGAAACGAACCGAACCGGAGGGGGUAGGGGCGGUGCCUGCGCAUGCUCGCGGCGGGGUGGGGGGGGGUGGGGGUGGGGGUGGGGGGGUCAGAGAAAGAGAAAGACAGAAAGAGACAGAAAUCAUUACAAAUCAACGGGAUUGUGCUCGCAGCGCCAGGGAUGGGGUGGGGUGGGGCGGGGCGGGGGCCCUUCCCGGGAGGAGCGAGGCAGUGGGAAGUGGCACGAACCAAGAGAAACACGACCCCAAUGUGGGCACCCGACGCGCCCAAAACCCCCCACCCCGACCCCCACCCCCCUACACACGAGAGAGACACGGCCCCCCUCCCCACUAGAUAACCCGAGGAGACACAGUCUCCCCUCCCCAUGGGCAGACACACCCGCCCGAAACCCCAUGGGCGGGACACAGUCCCCCCUCCCAGAGAAGUCCCCAGUGGAGACGCCCCUUAAGAGACUUUCUCAUGGCCAACACAAGCCCUCCCAACACCCGGAGACAGCCCCGACCCAGGGAAGAAAUGGCUCCAGAGGCCCUACCCUCGGGAGAGAGAGGUAUCCCAGGGCUCCUAGGAGAAAAGACAACUCAGAGAUGCCCAGCCUCAUCCUAAAGUGCUGCAGGGCAGAGAAACCCCCAUAGGAGAGAUGGGGGUAGGGCCAGAAACAUCCCUUCCCAGACGUGUUUCAGAGAUAGCCCCCUUCCCUGGGAAGAGAGAUGGCCCGAAACUGACUUGCCUUAAGUACUCCCAGGAACCCUGGGAGGAAAACAGGCUCCCCAGAGAGCCUGGGUAAUUGGGGGAGACAUGCUCCCGUGGUCCUCAGCGGGAACACAUGUCCCCCGGAGACUCCCAAGGGGAGAGAUAGGGCCUAGAGAGACCCCAGAGGUGAGGGAUGCCCAGAGAACUUCCCCCCACCCCGGAAUGUGAAACAUGCUUCAAGGACCCUAGGAGAGAAAUAUGUCCCCAUAUACCCUCCCCCUACGGAGAGACAUGCCCUGAAGUAGGGGGAUGGGGACCGACUAGGUCCCCUCUGGGAAGACACAGACUGGGUCAGGCUGGGUUUGAGGGGGGCUCUCCUCUGGCCAAAUGUCGCCUAUUGGUACAUAAAACUGUACGCGACACAGGCAUUGGGGAGGGGCUUCACAGACCUAGGACCCACAGGGAUAGUCCCCAGUGCUGUCGCCAACCCCUGCCCACCUUUGGUUUCAUCUCUCCAGUGCCCAGUUGGUGACAGACUCAGUGCCCUGGCCCCAACCAGGGGGCUGGGGGCUCUGUCUUUGCCUGUGGGAAGGGCUUCUCAGCUCUCCCAGCCAUCUGGGCCACCCUCUUUCUUCUGGCUUCUCCAUUGUGCAAAAUGCUCCUCUGCUCUUCUGCUCAGUGCUCAGGGGUCUCUAAGACCAGGGCAAGGUACCCAGGCCACUAGGGGCUUCCAGUGGGAGUCCACUGACCCCAGGAAUGCCGCCUGUCUGGACCACCUUCUCCACCAAGCAAAUGGGCCUCAUACAAUCUUCUUGCCCGAAUCCUGACCUCCAGGACCCAGGACAAUCCUUGAGGCCACUGUUCCACCAGCUGGGCACCCAAUACUACCAACUCCAAGACUAUUGCACCUGCCCCAUUUGUGCAGGGGAAAGGGGCUGUCUCUUUAACAAGCCCCAAGCCCAUCUCCUGGGCCUCCCCAAGGGAAAGGAGCCUUUGGCCAACCCCUAGACCUGGCUGCUGCCACCCCAUCCCAUUCUACCCCUUCCCCUCUGUAGAAGGGCUUCGUAUGCCAGGGCUACCAGCCUAACAAUGCUCUCCUUCCUAGCACUGUCACCCCAAGCCAAGUUGGGGGUAAGGGGCAGAUAAAUAGGGUGAUUCUUCAGGCCCCUGGCUUUGAGAUGGCCACAGUGGGAGACGGGGGCUCUGCAGGACGCCCCUUACACCCUGGCCCCCUGAGGUGAAGAAGAGAACUUCACCUCAUCAUGGCUGACUGGGCUUCUCUGCCCCCCAACCUCCCUACCCCCUCCCCCAUGGGACCCCUGACCCUGACAAAGGGAAGCCCAACUGGAAGAAGGGGGCCUGGAGCCCAGGGUGCCCUGAGGCAGCCCUCCCACCCCCUGAGAUCAAGGCAAUGGUGGUUUUACAGGCUGACGGGUCAGUCAUGGCAGGGGCUGGGGGUUGAGAGGGCAGGGAGGGGGCAGGAUGCAGGCCCCCUAUAUCGGGAGCAGCACCCAGCCACCCCCUGAGCAAACCUUCCUGCUCCCAACUCACCCAACCAGGCCAGAGGCACAGUCAUCCCACCCCUGUCCAGCUGCCCCCCACAGCCUCAGGGCCCCUCUGUGAUGCUCAUCUGGAUGUGGGAGGCCAGCCUGAGCGGGGAUCCCCCCAGGGCACAGCGCAACAGUUCCAAAAAAAUAGAGAUUUGUAUUUUUAAGAAAAAUUAAAUAAAAGCCCAGCUCUGCUGAUAGGCAAAUGUUACCCCCGUCCCCACCCCCACCCACCCGUUGUUUCCCUGGCCUGCACCCCCAUCCCACCAUGGCCCCAGGGGUAUUUACAACAUGGAACAAUAGAGGCCUGGGUUGGGGGGCACUGCGGCAGGGAGGAGGGGGCACAGGGCAGGUCCCCCCCCAGAGGGGUCCCCCAAGACAACACGACAUCAACAAGAAAAGUUGCAAAUCAGGCAGAAAUGGGGACGUCAUUCCAAGGUCCUUAUAUACAGACACUGCAUGACCAGCAGGGAAUGGGGGCCCAGAUGGGACUAGGCGUGGGCAUGUGGCAGGCAGGUGG
rnacentral:lncRNA from 1 species